UGAAGUUAAAGNCAGUGGCUCAACCAUUGUAGGCUUUGGAAACUGUUUAACUUGAGUGCAGAAGGGGAGAGUGGAAUUCCAUGUGUAGCGGUGAAAUGCGUAGAUAUAUGGAGGAACGCCGGUGGCGAAAGCGGCUCUCUGGUCUGUAACUGACGCUGAGGCUCGAAAGCGUGGGGAGCGAACAGGAUUAGAUACCCUGGUAGUCCACGCCGUAAACGAUGAGUGCUAGGUGUUAGGUCCUUUCCGGGACUUAGUGCCGCAGCUAACGCAUUAAGCACUCCGCCUGGGGAGUACGACCGCAAGGUUGAAACUCAAAGGAAUUGACGGGGGCCCGCACAAGCGGUGGAGCAUGUGGUUUAAUUCGAAGCAACGCGAAGAACCUUACCAGGUCUUGACAUCCCGAUGCCCGCUCUAGAGAUAGAGCUUUACUUCGGUACAUCGGUGGCAGGUGGAGCAUGGUUGUCGUCAGCUCGUGUCGUGAGAUGUUGGGUUAAGUCCCGCAACGAGCGCAACCCUUAUUGUUAGUUGCCAUCAUUCAGUUGGGCACUCUAGCGAGACUGCCGGUAAUAAACCGGAGGAAGGUGGGGAUGACGUCAAAUCAUCAUGCCCCUUAUGACCUGGGCUACACACGUGCUACAAUGGCUGGUACAACGAGUCGCAAGCCGGUGACGGCAAGCUAAUCUCUGAAAGCCAGUCUCAGUUCGGAUUGUAGGCUGCAACUCGCCUACAUGAAGUCGGAAUCGCUAGUAAUCGCGGAUCAGCACGCCGCGGUGAAUACGUUCCCGGGCCUUGUACACACCGCCCGUCACACCACGAGAGUUUGUAACACCCGAAGUCGG
rnacentral:rRNA from 1 species